UCCCUGGUGGCUUAGUGGUAAAGAAUCUGCCUGCCAACUCAGGAGACACGGGUUUGAUUCCUGAUCUGGGAA
rnacentral:tRNA from 1 species